rnacentral:rRNA from 1 species
UAGGGAAUCUUCCACAAUGGACGCAAGUCUGAUGGAGCAACGCCGCGUGAGUGAAGAAGGUUUUCGGACCGUAAAGCUCUGUUGUUGGUGAAGAAGGAUAGAGGUAGUAACUGGCCUUUAUUUGACGGUAAUCACAGAAAGUCACGGCUAACUACGUGCCAGCAGCCGCGGUAAUACGUAGGUGCAAGCGUUGUCCGGAUUUA